rnacentral:rRNA from 1 species
CAGCCGCCGCGGUAAUACGGAGGGUGCAAGCGUUAAUCGGAAUUACUGGGCGUAAAGCGUGCGUAGGCGGUUCGUUAAGUCUGUUGUGAAAGUCCCGGGCUCAACCUGGGAAUGGCAAUGGAUACUGGCGAGCUAGAGUGUGUCAGAGGAUGGUGGAAUUCCCGGUGUAGCGGUGAAAUGCGUAGAGAUCGGGAGGAACAUCAGUGGCGAAGGCGGCCAUCUGGGACAACACUGACGCUGAGGCACGAAAGCGUGGGGAGCAAACAGGAUUAGAUACCCGAGUAGUCCCUGUCUCUUAUAC